rnacentral:rRNA from 1 species
GAUUUCUGGUUUGGUAUGCCUGACCCGUCAUGGUUACAUGAUUGUGUGUCGGUGCGUGCUUACCAUCCUUCUAGAGAAUUAUCCGUUAUUCUUUAUUGAGUAUAUGGGUAAUCGCUCUAGAUCUUUUACUUUGAAAAAAUUAGAGUGUUUAAAGCAGGCUUUUGCUAUGAAUACAUUAGCAUGGAAUAAUAAUCUAGGACUUCGGUUCUAUUUUGUUGGUUUCUAUAACUGAAGUAAUGAUUGAUAGGGAUAGUUGGGGGUGCUAGUAUUGGCCGGCCAGAGGUGAAAUUCUUGGAUUCGGUCAAGACUAACUUAUGCGAAAGCAUU